UGGUUGAUCCUGCCAGUAGUCAUAUGCUUGUCUCAAAGACUAAGCCAUGCAUGUCUAAGUAUGAAUGUUAUACAGUGAAACUGCGAAUGGCUCAUUAAAACAGUUAUAGUUUAUUUGAUAAUCAAACUUACAUGGAUAACCGUGGUAAUUCUAGAGCUAAUACAUGCUGGUUAGCCUGACUUUUAGGAAAGGCUGUAUUUAUUAGAUAACAAACCAAUAUUCCUUGUGUCUAUUGUGACGACUCAUAAUAACUGAUCGAAUCGCAUGGACUUUGUCCGCGAUACAUCAUUCAAGUUUCUGCCCCAUCAGCUUUCGAUGGUAGUGUAUUGGACUACCAUGGCUUUAACGGGUAACGGAGGAUUAGGGUUCGAUUCCGGAGAGGGAGCCUGAGAAACGGCUACCACAUCUAAGGAAGGCAGCAGGCGCGUAAAUUACCCAAUCCUAAUUCAGGGAGGUAGUGACAAGAAAUAACGGACUGAGGCUAUUGCUUCAGGAUUGCAAUGAGUUGAAUUUAAACCCCUUGACGAGGAUCAAUUGGAGGGCAAGUCUGGU
rnacentral:rRNA from 1 species